rnacentral:rRNA from 1 species
ACUCAAAUGAAUUGACGGGGGCCCGCACAAGCGGUGGAGCAUGUGGUUUAAUUCGACGCAACGCGCAGAACCUUACCAGGGUUUGACAUCCUGCGACCGCCUCUUAAUAGGGGUUUUCCCGCAAGGGACGCAGAGACAGGUGCUGCAUGGCUGUCGUCAGCUCGUGUCGUGAGAUGUUGGGUUAAGUCCCGCAACGAGCGCAACCCUCGCCUUUAGUUGCCAUCAUUCAGUUGGGCACUCUAGAGGGACCGCCGGCGACAAGCCGGAGGAAGGUGGGGAUGACGUCAAGUCCUCAUGGCCCUUACACCCUGGGCUACACACGUGCUACAAUGGCAGUGACAGUGGGCAGCCAGCCAGCGAUGGUGAGCUAAUCCCAAAAAACUGCCCCAGUUCAGAUUGUACUCUGCAACUCGAGUACAUGAAGGUGGAAUCGCUAGUAAUCGCAGAACAGCAGGCUGCGGUGAAUACGUUCCCGGGCCUUGUACACACCGCCCGU